rnacentral:rRNA from 1 species
GAAUCUUCCACAAUGGACGAAAGUCUGAUGGAGCAAUGCCGCGUGAGUGAAGAAGGUUUUCGGAUCGUAAAACUCUGUUGUGCGGGAAGAACAAGUACGAGAGUAACUGCUCGUACCUUGACGUUACCUCAUUAUAACGCCACGGCUAACUCCGUGCCACCAGCCGCGGUAAUACGGAGGUGGCAAGCGUUGUCCGGAAUUAUUGGGCGUAAAGCGCGCGCAGGCGGUCCUUUAAGUCUGAUGUGAAAUCCCACGGCUCAACCGUGGAAGGUCAUUGGAAACUGGGGGACUUGAGUACAGAAGAGGAAAGCGGAAUUCCAAGUGUAGCGGUGAAAUGCGUAGAGAUUUGGAGGAACACCAGUGGCGAAGGCGGCUUUCUGGUCUGUAACUGACGCUGAGGCGCGAAAGCGUGGGGAGCAAACAGG